UAGGGAAUCUUCCGCAAUGGACGAAAGUCUGACGGAGCAACGCCGCGUGAGUGAAGAAGGAUUUCGGUUCGUAAAACUCUGUUGUUAGGGAAGAAAAAAUGUAUAGUAACUAUAUACAAAAGAGACGGUACCUAACCAGAAAGCCACGGCUAACUACAUGCCAGCAGCCGCGGUAAUACGUAGGUGGCAAGCGUUGUCCGGAAUUAUUGGGCGUAAAGCGCGCGCAGGUGGUUUAGAAAGUCUGAUGUGAAAGCCCACGGCUCAACCGUGGAGGGUCAUUGGAAACUAAUAAACUUGAGUGCAGGAGAGAAAAGUGGAAUUCCUAGUGUAGCGGUGAAAUGCGUAGAGAUUAGGAGGAACACCGGUGGCGAAAGCGGCUUUUUGGCCUGCAACUGACACUGAGGCGCGAAAGCGUGGGGAGCAAACAGG
rnacentral:rRNA from 1 species